UGGGUCUAAAACAUCCGUAGCUUGCUUUGUAAGUCUCUUGUGAAAUCCGGCAUCUCAAAUGUCGGGCGCGCAGGAGAUACUGCAUCGCUAGAGACCGGGAGACGUAAGGAGUACGUGAGGGGUAUCGGUAAAAUGAGUUGAUCCUUUGCGGACUAACGAUAGCGAAGGCACCUUACGAGAACGGAUCUGACAGUCAGGGAUGAAGGCUAGGAUCGCGAAAGGGAUUAGAUACCCCUGUAGUCCUAGCAGUAAACACUGCGCACUAAACAUCGGUAUCUCCUCGAGAGGCAUCGGUGCUGCAGGGAAGCCGUAGAGUGCGCUACCUGGGAAGUAUAGUCGCAAGGCCGAAACUUAAAGGAAUUGGCGGGGGAGCACAACAAGGGGUGCGGCGUGCGGUUUAAUCCAACUCAACGCGGAGAAUCUCACCAGGAGCGACGGCAGAAUGAAGGUCAGUCUGAAGGGCUUACCUAACGAGCCGAGAGGUGGUGCAUGGCCGUCGUUAGCUCGUGCCGUAAGGUGUCCUGUUAAGUCAGGCAACGAGCGAGACCUGUACCUACAAUUGCCAUCGACACUUUUAGUGGAUCGGGCACAUUGUAGGGACUGCCCUGGAAACAGGGGGGAAGGUGCAGGCAACGAUAGGUCUGUAUGCCCCGAAUCUUCUGGGCUACACGCGCGCAACAAUGGUAGAGACAAUGGGACACGACUCCGAAAGGAGAAGUUAAUCCUCUAAACUCUAUCUCAGUCCAGAUUGAGGAUUGUAACUCAUCCUCAUGACGAUGGAAUCCCUAGUAAUC
rnacentral:rRNA from 1 species